rnacentral:rRNA from 1 species
GAUGAACGCUAGCGGCAGGCUUAAUACAUGUAAGUCGAGGGGCAGCGCGGGUAGCAAUACCUGGCGGCGACCGGCAAACGGGUGCGGAACACGUACGCAACCUUCCCAAAACUGGUGAAUAGCCCUCCGAAAGGAGGAUUAAUACACCGUACCAUAAUGAAGAGGCAUCUCUUUGUUAUUAUAGCCGCAAGGCGGUUUUGGAUGGGCGUGCGCCUGAUUAGGUAGUUGGCGGGUAACGGCCCACCAAGCCUGCGAUCAGUAACUGGUGUGAGAGCACGACCAGUCACACGGGCACUGAGACACGGGCCCGACUCCUACGGGAGGCAGCAGUAAGGAAUAUUGGUCAAUGGACGCAAGUCUGAACCAGCCAUGCCGCGUGAAGGAUGACGGCCCUCUGGGUUGUAAACUUCUUUUAUCUGGGACGAAAAAAGGGCUUUCUAGCUCACUUGACGGUACCAGAGGAAUAAGCACCGGCUAACUCCGUG